rnacentral:lncRNA from 1 species
CUACAUAAGAGGUGGAGUAAAAUCCAGCGAGGAGUAACUACUCGGCGUCGGUUCAUUGCUUGUGGGAGAGAGUCAUCUCGCGCAGCUCGGCUGCGUCCACCUGCGCUCGGAGGUUGCUGGGCCUGUAGUACCCCGUCACCGGGUCCGGGACCCAAGAAUUCGACGAAGCAGAGGUGGAGGAGGAGGCGGCGGUGGUCGAGGAGUCUACCACCUUGCGCGCCACCGUUUUCUGCUCCACGGACCUUCUCACACCAGCCGCCGCCGCCGCUGCCGCAGCGUAUCCCCUCCUGGAUGAAUCGAACGGAGCAGGAGUAAGUAAUGGUCCAAUUAUAGAUUAUAGAUUAUAGAUAGAUGAUGAUGAUUGGUAUAUCAGUUACCGGUUAACCAAGAGGGCGAUGUUUUGAGAGACGGACGCAGCGAGAGCAGCAGCACUAGAGAGAGAGCGAGCCAUCUGCCCUCUUCGUUUUAUCACCUUAAUUUCUCUAGCUAGUAGAAAGAAAGAGAAGAGAUGGACGAACAGGAAGAGGUCCUUCUCUUCGUGUUGUUGUGCUCCUCUCUCUCUUUCUCUCUCUCUCCUUCUAUCCUCCC